rnacentral:rRNA from 1 species
AUUGAACGCUGGCGGCAGACCUAACACAUGCAAGUCGAGCGGAUGAAGGGAGCUUGCUCCUGGAUUCAGCGGCGGACGGGUGAGUAAUGCCUAGGAAUCUGCCUGGUAGUGGGGGAUAACGUCCGGAAACGGGCGCUAAUACCGCAUACGUCCUGAGGGAGAAAGUGGGGGAUCUUCGGACCUCACGCUAUCAGAUGAGCCUAGGUCGGAUUAGCUAGUUGGUGGGGUAAAGGCCUACCAAGGCGACGAUCCGUAACUGGUCUGAGAGGAUGAUCAGUCACACUGGAACUGAGACACGGUCCAGACUCCUACGGGAGGCAGCAGUGGGGAAUAUUGGACAAUGGGCGAAAGCCUGAUCCAGCCAUGCCGCGUGUGUGAAGAGGGUCUUCGGAUUGUAAAGCACUUUAAGUUGGGAGGAAGGGCAGUAAGUUAAUACCUUGCUGUUUUGACGUUACCAACAGAAUAAGCACCGGCUAACUUCGUG